rnacentral:rRNA from 1 species
GAUGAACGCUGGCGGCGUGCCUAAUACAUGCAAGUCGAGCGAACGGACGAGAAGCUUGCUUCUCUGAUGUUAGCGGCGGACGGGUGAGUAACACGUGGAUAACCUACCUAUAAGACUGGGAUAACUUCGGGAAACCGGAGCUAAUACCGGAUAAUAUUUUGAACCGCAUGGUUCAAAAGUGAAAGACGGUCUUGCUGUCACUUAUAGAUGGAUCCGCGCUGCAUUAGCUAGUUGGUAAGGUAACGGCUUACCAAGGCAACGAUGCAUAGCCGACCUGAGAGGGUGAUCGGCCACACUGGAACUGAGCCACGGUCCAGGCUCCUACGGGAGGCAGCAGGAGGGAAUCUUCGGCAGUGGGCGAAAGCCUGACGGAGCAACGCCGCGUGAGUGAUAAAGGUCUUCGGAUCGUAAAACUCUGUUAUUAGGGAAGAACAUAUGUGUAAGUAACUGUGCACAUCUUGACGGUACCUAAUCAGAAAGCCACGGCUAACUACGUG